CUUCGCUAUUGCCAGGCGCCCAUCUUCAAUGUUUAUUUCCUUUCCGAGAGGACUUAGUAUACGUUUGUUUUCUUUCAACUGUUUUAUGGGCCAGAUUCCCUUGCUCUCUGCCCUUCCUUGUGCUUGGUGGCUCCCGACUCGUACUCAUAUAUAUGAUAACUUGAAAGCUGCAGCUAUAUGUUUGUUAUGUGUUAAGUUACAUAGACUAGAAACACUUCGGCGUUAAAGCUCGACAUAUAACUUCAAUGCAAAUGAUCUCUG
rnacentral:sRNA from 1 species